AAAGGACGUCAGGUUGAUAAUGGACAGGAUUUCGAGACGUUCAAAAGGUGUUGGCAAUGCGAUAAUGAUGAGGGAUGAUGGGAAUACCUUGCGCUCAUGUUUUAUCAAUUCAUGCUGCGUUGCCAAGGGAUAAACCAGGUAUUCGCAUUUUCUUGCGUGGAUGCUUUGUAGUCUAUGGCCGAUCUGAUCCGAUCAGAAUAACUACAGGUGGUUAAUAUAAUUGAAUUGCCUAUAGGUGGU